UACGGGGGGAGCAAGCGUUGUUCGGAUUUACUGGGCGUAAAGGGCGCGUAGGCGGCCAGCACAAGUCAGUUGUGAAAUCUCCGAGCUUAACUCGGAAAGGUCAACUGAUACUGUGCGGCUAGAGUGCAGAAGGGGCAACUGGAAUUCUUGGUGUAGCGGUGAAAUGCGUAGAUAUCAAGAGGAACACCUGCGGCGAAGGCGGGUUGCUGGGCUGACACUGACGCUGAAGCGCGAAAGCUAGGGGAGCAAACGGG
rnacentral:rRNA from 1 species